rnacentral:snRNA from 1 species
AUAGGUUUUCUUUAUUCAUAAUUAAAAAAUCUCUGUUCUUAUCAGCUUAAUAUCUGAUAUGUUAGGCAAUGCCUAACUCAUAUAUUAAACUGAUUUUUGGACUUCGGCCAUGGGAUUGAAGCUUGCUUCACCCUGGCCACAGGUUGUCUCGGUAUUGCACUACAUCCGAGUACGGCCCCUUCCCC